rnacentral:ncRNA from 2 species
GCACCAUCCAGAGCGGCCGAGAGACCCGGCUCGACGACGCCGCAGCAACCCCCCGCCUCACGCGGGUGUGGGUGCUCCCGCCGGGUGCGAUGGAGG